rnacentral:rRNA from 1 species
AUUGAACGCUGGCGGCAGGCCUAACACAUGCAAGUCGAACGAGUGGCGGACGGGUGAGUAAUGUCUUGGAAACUGCCUGAUGGAGGGGGAUAACUACUGGAAACGGUAGCUAAUACCGCAUACCAUCGGAUGUGCCCAGAUGGGAUUGGCUAGUAGGUGGGGUAACGGCUCACCUAGGCGACGAUCCCUAGUUGGUCUGUGAGGAUGACCAGCCACACUGGAACUGAGGCACGGUCCACACUCCGACGGGAGGCAGCAGGGGGAAAUAGUGCACAAUGGGCGCAAGCCUAAUGCAGCCAGGCCGCGUGUAUGAAGAAGGCCUGCGGGUUGUAAAGUACUUUCAGCGGGGAGGCGUUACCCGCAGAAGAAGCACCGGCUAACUCCGUGCCAGCAACCGCGGUAAUUC